UACAACUUUCAGCAACGGAUCUCUUGGCUCUCGCAUCGAUGAAGAACGCAGCGAAAUGCGAUAAGUAAUGUGAAUUGCAGAAUUCAGUGAAUCAUCGAAUCUUUGAACGCACCUUGCACUCCUUGGUAUUCCGAGGAGUAUGCCUGUUUGA
rnacentral:rRNA from 1 species